rnacentral:rRNA from 1 species
AACUGGCCUCUAAUGUGAGAGGGUACCCCCUGGAUUAAGCAUAUUAAUAAA